UACAGAGGUCUCAAGCGUUGUUCGGAUUCAUUGGGCGUAAAGGGUGCGUAGGCGGCGCGGUAAGUCGGGUGUGAAAUCUCGGAGCUUAACUCCGAAACUGCAUUCGAUACUGCCGUGCUUGAGGACUGGAGAGGAGACUGGAAUUUACGGUGUAGCGGUGAAAUGCAUAGAUAUCAGGAGGAACACCAGCGGCGAAGGCGGCACUCUGGGCUGGAACUGACGCUGAGGAGCGAAAGCGUGGGGAGCGAACAGG
rnacentral:rRNA from 1 species